CAAUCAGGUGGGACAUUUGUUAUUGUAUCAUGUCCAGAAAACUACUGCUAUUGUCACAAGAAUUUUACAUCCAGUGGUGAGUGUCUGUUUGAGAGAGAUAAGCAAUGUAGGGGUAACAGAGAAAAGCAAGUGUGUGGAAGGUGCAAGAAGGGCUUUUUUUUAAAAAUUGGUGAAGAUGAUUGUACAAGGGAGUGUAAUUCUGAUUCACUGAAAUGGAUAGGUUAUCUAGUCGCUAUAUUAUUAUCUCUAACUUUAUUAGUGCUUUUCAUUAUGCUAAUUAAUUUUGACCCUUUUAGCGCUUAUCUUAAUGCAUGGCUAUAUUCUUAUCAAGUACUGUUAUCUUUAACACCUGGUGAUAUGAGUUUUGAUCCUUUUCUAACCUUCAUUAUUAAUCUUGCCCAUAUUCAGAUUCUUGGAUUUGGUAGUGUAUGCAUGUGGUCAAACAUGGAUGACUUGCAGAAAUUAGCUUUCAACUAUAUACUGCCUGUCUAUGUUUUUAUUUGUUUGUUUGUCCUUGGCAAGAUAGUUGUACAAUGGCCCAAUAACUUUUUCACACGUCGGUUAACACAGACUUCUUUGGCUCGAGCAUUUUGUACUCUAUUUGUACUGUCAUAUUCUACUGUGAUCAAUAUCAGCUUGAAAAUUCUUCGUCCUGUCAAAGUAGGUAAUGAGUAUUUCAUGUACUACCAGGGAGAUGUUGGGUAUUUCAGCUUCUACCAUGUAAUUUUUGCUGUGUUUGCUCUACUCUUGGUGAUAUUUGUUGGUAUAUUUUUUCCGUUGCUUCUUAUUCGCCGUCAGUGGUUUAGGUCCUUUGAUAAAGGUUUAAAGAAACUUUUACUUGAUAACUUCCAGCGAUGUUUUCGUGAUGGUUAUCAGUGGUGCGCAGGUUACUAUUUUGUUUGUCGAUUUAUCUUACUUGUGGUACGUCUCGCUGUUCCUCGAAGUGCAUUGCAAGUUAGUUUGUUGAAUAGUGUUUGUUGUAUUAUCUUGGCUAUAUUUGUUUUGUGUCAACCUUAUGCAGACAAUACCAAUGGUGGUACAGUAGUACCAUACAGAAUACUAAAUAUCUCUGAUGCUGUUUUGUUGUGUAAUCUCUGUCUAAUUAGCAGUUUUGGUGGUACUGCUUCUGGCAUUUAUGGCCACUCUUAUUACAAAAACUUCCAAACUGUUAUCUCGAUUCUAAGCUACAUCCCAUUAGUGUUCUCUUUUGGGCUCUUGGCUUAUGUUCUGCGUCACAAAUAUAUGACCCGCAAUCGUCUUUUGGAAGAUGUGGACUAAUAAUGUAUUGUAUAUAUUAUUAUUUACCAGGUCCUGGAGCUUGAAAUAUGUUGCUAGGCUAAUUAUCUAAUUUGUAUAGCUGCUCACACGUCAUUGGUAAUCAAUUAUGCCCACAAUAAUAAGACAUUUGAAUCAUCAGUACAACUAUAUGCACCGCAUGAUAUUUCUUUUAAAAACCAGUGGCGGACCCUUAGCUGAGGUUUAGAUCCGUUAACCAAUCAGACGCGUACUUAUAGUUUGUACAAGGUAAUGGGAGUGGAAGGCGAGUCUAAACCUCACUAUUAGGUGGCCGGGUGACGAAUUAGGUUUCCAAGAUAUGACCACCUUUUGUAGCUGGAAAUCGUAAUUCUUUAAACUUUUUUGCCUUGCUUAAUUUA
rnacentral:lncRNA from 1 species